UUCACUUCUGCAUCUUCACUUCCUUCAUCAGCCGACACUUCCCCCAUUCUAUUUCUAUAUUUCUCUGUUUCUCUCUUUAAACCAUAAACAUCAUCUUCAAGCUUAGAUUCGGAGCAUUUAGGGUGUGAAUUGGACCUUGAGCUAAAAGAGAAAGUUGAAGAGCUCGACAAAAGUUAUUUUUUGGUACCAUUUUGGAGGCCACUUGUGAAGGAUCCGAAAAUUCAAGGAGCUUGGGCUUUGCAUCUUUGAGGAAAUAGUAAAGAGGUGGAAGAUGCAUUGAAGGAGUACUUUUGCCAGACUUAAUUGCAUAGACAACAUACUUAUGUAUAUUUUUUAUGUGUAUGGCACCUUGUAACCAAUAAUAUAAAUUUUUGCUAAGUUUGUAAA